rnacentral:misc_RNA from 1 species
UCUCUCUCUCUCUCUCUCAAGAUACCUACCUACCCACUUCUUUUUGGUAAUAAGUUGUUUCUUGUUUGAUACUUCUCUUUCUUUCCUAAUCUAUAUUUCGACGAUUAGCGUUUCUUGGGUUAUUUGUUGUACCAUUUUGUAAUUUUCUUGAGUUAUGUUGAAAUAUAUUUGGAACUUUUAUGUUCUGUGUUCUAGAGGAUUGCAGUUACAUACAUGCACUGGGUUUGGGUAAUGUUUGUCCAUCACAGUCCACUUUCUCUUAGAAUAACAAUGUUUCAAUUUGUUGCUUUUGCUUUCUUUAUUUUAUUCAUGAGAAAAGUUAUCUUUUGGUUGUAUCUUGGCUUUCCGCAGUCUCAAGAAAUUUUUAUUUAGUUUUUUCCUCUCAUACACAAUCAUAAAAAUAAAAAGAGGGGAUUUUUAUGUUUUAUUAGUAUGUGGAAUUAUUUUCUUUUAUCUGCAGUCCAAGUGAUUUUAGUUUUGAGAGUUUAUGAUUUUUCAUAACGAUUCCUUCAUUAUUUGGUAGCAGUUCUUUUAGUUUCAUAUGGCUUGUAGUUUGGGACUGGAAAAUUGAACUUAUUGCCCCACUCCAAUUUCAGCAAGAGUCACGGAGUCAGAUUUGUACCAUGUGUAUAAUGUUCCAUCAGUUCAGUUGAGGAAAAAAUUUUGUUACUUCUAUACAGAACUUGUGCCUAUGAAGGUUUUCCGUGCAUUUGAUUUUGUUAAGUUGUUUGCUGUUUUUAGUUUCUGGUCUAAACCUUUUCCCCCUCAAAGAUCUAUAAUUUAAUUAUUGAUUUCGUUUUUCUUAACUUGAUAAAAUCUUUAUCAACUUUUUCCCCCUCUUUGUUGGUUGUUGUUUUCUCAGUAGAAGUUGAUGCAAUGAAG